rnacentral:rRNA from 1 species
ACGGGAGGCAGCAGUGGGGAAUAUUGCACAAUGGGCGCAAGCCUGAUGCAGCAACGCCGCGUGAGGGAAGACGGUCUUCGGAUUGUAAACCUUUGUCUUUGGUGAAGAAACAAUGACGGUAGCCAAGGAGGAAGCCACGGCUAACUACGUGCCAGCAGCCGCGGUAAUACGUAGGUGGCAAGCGUUGUCCGGAAUUACUGGGUGUAAAGGGAGCGCAGGCGGGACAGCAAGUUGGAUGUGAAAUACCGAGGCUGAACCACGGAGCUGCAUCCAAAACUGUUGUUCUUGAGUGAAGUAGAGGCAGGCGGAAUUCCGAGUGUAGCGGUGAAAUGCGUAGAUAUUCGGAGGAACACCAGUGGCGAAGGCGGCCUGCUGGGUUUUAACUGACGCUGAGGCUCGAAAGUGUGGGGAGCAAACAGGAUUAGAUACCCUGGUA